UACGUAGGGGGCUAGCGUUGUCCGGAAUCAUUGGGCGUAAAGAGCGUGUAGGCGGCCCGGUAAGUCCGCUGUGAAAGUCGGGGGCUCAACCCUCGAAUGCCGGUGGAUACUGUCGGGCUAGAGUGCGGAAGAGGCGAGUGGAAUUCCGUGGUGUAGCGGUGAAAUGCGCAGAUAUCAGGAGGAACACCGAUUGCGAAGGCAGCUCGCUGGGACGUCACUGACGCUGAGACGCGAAAGCGUGGGGAGCAAACAGG
rnacentral:rRNA from 1 species